GGUUUAAUUCGAUGAUACGCGAGGAACCUUACCCGGGCUUGAAUUGCAGAGGAAGGAUUUGGAGACAAUGACGCCCUUCGGGGUCGUCUGUGAAGGUGCUGCAUGGUUGUCGUCAGCUCGUGCCGUGAGGUGUCGGCUUAAGUGCCAUAACGAGCGCAACCCCUCUCCUUAGUUGCCAUCAGUUGAAGCUGGGCACUCUGGGGACACUGCCACCGUAAGGUGUGAGGAAGGUGGGGGAUG
rnacentral:rRNA from 1 species